GAUGAAGAACGCAGCGAAAUGCGAUAAGUAGUGUGAAUUGCAGAAUUCAGUGAAUCAUCGAAUCUUUGAACGCACAUUGCGCCCCUUGGUAUCCCGAGGGGCAUGCCUGUUCGAGCGUCAUUUCACCACUCAAGCCUGGCUUGGUGUUGGGCGACGUCCUCUUUGGGGACGCGCCUCGAAACGCUCGGCGGCGUGGCACCGGCUUUAAGCGUAGCAGAAUCUUUCGCUUUGGAAGUCGGGGCCCCGUCUGCCGGAAGACCUGCUCGCAAGGUUGACCUCGGAUCGGGUAGGGAUACCCGCUGAACUUAAGCAUAUCAAUAAGCGGAGGA
rnacentral:misc_RNA from 1 species